AGAAAAUGAGUAUUUUGUCCUCCUGGGCAGGGAUUUUCCCUCUUACCAAGAUUGCCUUGUCUUCCUGUGGCUGAUUCUUUGCUUAAACUGGGUAUGUUCCUUUACUAUCCUGCUUGUAAAUUACUGGAAGAUCAUCUUCAUUUCUCUUCAGACCUCACACUGAAAGGAGAUAGGGGGGUAUGCAUAUCCUCUCACCUGUGACAUCACACAAGGAGAAGAGACAUUCUGCCAGCUAUAACAUGAGCAGGUAUAAAAAAGAAAAAAAGCC